rnacentral:lncRNA from 1 species
GAGCCUUUGAAGAAAGACAGAAGCAAAAAGAAGAAAAAGAACGAAGAUUUAGAGAACAAGUCUUGCAACAAAGGAAAAUUAAAUUUUGGGAAACAACUGAGAAGUUCCAGCGUGCUCAUCUUCCUGCUUCCCAACACAAGCAGAUAGUCCAGACAAAAGCAGCUUUUCAGUUAGAGGAAGCUCUCGAACAAAUUAAAGGAUCAGUUUUAACAUCAGGAUUGUGCUUGCCAAGCAGAAACAAAACUACCUGCAGAACCACAGAUGACACUUCAUGCUCAUCAGCAUCGAGGAAGGGUUAUUCACAUCAGGAGCAGAUUUCAGCAAUGGUUGGCUUGGACAAAACAAUGCAGGAGAGCAGCAGAACAAGUGUGGAUAAUAACCAACUUCUAUUCCUGAAAAAUCUGAAGGAAAUGCAGCAGCUGCUUGAAAAACAGCAUCUCAGCAACUUGGAGAAUUUUCAUAAAGAAGUCAAAAGGACGGACGAUUCAGAAAGCUUAUCAAGUCUUGACAGUCUUGAGGCUGGAGAACAAAAUGGAAAUUGCACUCCACCGAGUGAAUCAUCAUCUUUGACUACAAGUUGUGACUGUGCCCCAUAUAUUCCAGCAAAGUCGCAGACUAGGAGUAACGAUACAUUUUAUGCAGCUCAAAAUACUUCUAAAAACAUGCAUCUAAAUAAUUGUCAGAGAACUUUAGAUUUCCAAAACAACCACAAUGCCUUUCCUACUGAGGAC